AACAUUUCGUAUACGCUGCAUCAGAGACAACUGAAGAUGAAAAACUACUGUCCCCAUAUAUAACUAAUUUGUGCUGUGCACCAACAAGAACCUGCUUUAAGUUUCCAUGCCAAUUUACAACCCCCAUACUGUACCAGCCAAGGUUAGUGGCUAUUGAAAUACCACCAGGACAGGGCUAUCGAAAGACACAUUCGGUAGUGUGUUAACGAUACAAAAAAAGACACUGUACAGUUUAAAAACAAAUCUUACACAGCCUUACAUUUCAAUUUUUUUCUUUAAAAGGAGUGAGUUGUGUACAGGGGGGUUAAAUGCUUUAUAGACAAGAAAAAACAACUGUGCUAGAACCAACUUAGUCAUCAUCAUCAUCUUCUUCAUCUUCAUCCUCUUCAUCUUCUUCCUCCUCUUCAUCCUCUUCAUCUUCCGCACCUUCUUCCUCUUCCUUCUUUUUCUUGCUUUUUUCAGCCUUGACAACUCCCUUUUUUGCUGCAUCAGGUUUUCCUUUAGCUCAGUAGGCAGCGAUGUCCCUUUCAUACUUUUCCUUCAGCUUGGCAGCCUUCUUCUCAUAAGGCGGCUUGUCAUCUGCUGCAUUGUUAUUCCACAUUUCUCCCAGUUUCUUUGCAACAUCACCAUUGGAAAGGCGAGGAUGUCCUCCUUUGAUUUUUGGGUGAUACUCAGAACAGAACAAGAGGAAGGCCGAAGGAGGCCUCUUGGGUGCAUUGGGAUCCUUGAACUUCUUUUUUGUUUCUCCUUUAGGAGGAAUAUAGGUUUUCAUUUCUCUUUCAUAACGGGCCUUGUCCGCCUUUGCCAUGCCUUCAAAUUUUCCUUUCUCUUUAGCAGACAUGGUCUUCCACCUCUCUGAGCCCUUCUUAGAAAACUCUGAGAAGUUAACGGAAGCAUCUGGGUGCAUCUUCUUGUGCUCCUCUCGGCAAGUUUGCACAAAGAAUGUAUAUGAUGACAUUUUGCCUCUCGGCUUCUUAGGGUCUCCUUUGCCCAUGUUUACUUGUUUUCCUCAGUGAGGCACAGAGUCGCCCAGUGCCCGUCCGGCUCUCACUUGCCCCGGCGCUGUCUCUAUGGAGCUCAAUGUACUGCAAUGGCUGUAAGAGCGGGAGCCAGACACC
rnacentral:lncRNA from 1 species